UAACUGUUACAGUAUAUGUUGUUAGACUUAAAUUUCUUUUAUCCCUAUCUAACUCCAUUUCCCCUUACAGCCAUUGUAGUUCUCUUUCCACUGAGUUUUGCAGGUCAGAAUGACUGGGCAAGAUAAUUGUGCACAUAAGUGGUUAAACUGUCACCAGAGGAACAUCUGUGGCCAAAAAAGAUUAUAGGCCGGACCCGGCUCUAAAAAGAGAAUGUUUUUAGAAAAAUAAGUCGUAAAAGUAAAACUAUGUUAUCUCUAGCAGACGAGAAAUAAGUUGUAAAAGUAAACAACUGUGACCUUGCAGACUGCCCGCAUCUUGGUAUCUUGUGCAAACGUCCUUCACCACCCCAUGCUCUACCGCCCUCGCUUUGCUGGUUUGAAGUGUAUAAAGAGAAGGAGAAAGUUUUGCCUGGCGCUGCAGUCUUGAUCCUGUGUGGUCAGGCUGUAGUCCGAGUUCGAACUUGUCUGUUUCUGUCUUUCAACUUUUACCUGUUAAAUUUGCUCUUCUCUAACCUUUGUCUUUUCUCUAAUAAACUUACUCUUAGCUUUUACAGGUUUGAGGUCAGUGGUUCUUGUUGGGCACGACUCCGUAACAGUAACUCCUGACAUGGACGUGUGCUGCAGGACGACGGGAAACCUGUUUGAGAGCGGCUUCUGGAAGACCCUCUGCCAGGCCGGUGACGCACUUUGCUGACCUCUAUGCAGUCUCCUUCCAUCGACCUGCUUUACUGCCCACGCAGUUACCCAAGCUGCUGCCUCAUGAAAUCGACCGUGAAGCGCACCCAUGCUGAUAUUAACGCAAUGCUAGUGGUAUCUAGAAAAAUGUCUUUUUAAAUUAGUCGUCAAUAUUUAAUGAACAUUUUUAUUUUCUUGGCCUUUAAAACGAUUUGUUUGAAAUAAUCAUUCUGUAAAUUACAUUGUUAUUUAUCCUUAUGCUUUCUCAGUCAGAUUUUUAUUACUGUAAAACAAGCUUCAUGUUCAUCAGAAGUGAAAAUGUCACCAACUACCCAAAUAAUACAUUCUGGUUCGACUAGCAUAACUUUAUUACGUUUAAAAAUACCCACCCCCACCAUUCUUUUACUGUAUGAAAAACCCUUUCAUUACAUAGCAUUCAAAUCCACAUAUGUAAAAAUUAUGAACUGUCAAUCAUAGAAUUAAAAAGAAGUUAACUAAAAUACAAACUUUAGGAUUUUCUCCUGACCCCAGUAUGAUCUUAGUCUUUUAUUGCUGUGACAUUUGAUUAUCUGGAUUUUUUUGCUUUCAUUUUUUAUUUGGGAAAGGGCAAUAGAUUCACUUUUCAUGAUUUCAUGACUUGGUCGAACAACCUCAUUGAAGCAUAUCUCAGGUGUACCCAGACUCGCCCCUUUGGAAUGUACAGUUCGCUGUGCACCAGCAGGUUCACAGAGUGCUGCCGCCGUCACGAGAUCUGAUCUGAGAACAUUCUCAUCAUUAGCGGUCAUCUCCCAUUCUUACCUUUAUCUCACUCCCAACCUCAGGCAACUAGUUAGUCUGUCUUUAUAGAUUUGCCCAUUCAGGACAUUUCAUAUCACUGGAAUCAUGCAUUAUGUGGUAUUGUGUGACUGUCUUCUUUCCUUAGCAUAUUUCCCCCCAGACCUAUCCAUAGUAUGAAAACCUAACUACUGCCAUCGAGUCGAUGCUGACCCUUAAAGGCCUUCUAGGACACAAAGGCCCUAUAGGACACAAAGGCCCUAUAGGACAAGGCCCAACAGCCCUUGUGUUUCUACUCUUUAAGGGAGUAGAAAGUCCCCGUCUCUCUCCCCGGGAGCAGCUGGUGGUUUGGAACUGCUGAGUUUGCAGUGAGCAGCCCAACGCGGAACCCCAGGGUUCCUAGCCAUCACGUAUAGGAUGCUAUCCAUAGUGGAGCACGUACUUAGUUCUAUUUAUGCUGAAUGACAUUCCAUUGUCUGGAUAAUAUUACAUUUUGUAUCUAUGUAUCCCUUGAUCAGGAUUUGGAUUGUUCCCACUUUUCGGUUACUCUAAAUAAUACUACUAUGGGUAUUCAAGUAUGUUUUUGUAUAUCUCUUGUAAGUCUAUGCCUAGGAAUGGAAUUACUGGUCUACAUGUAACUGUAUUUAACUGUUGAAGAGUUGCAAGACUGUCUUCUGAAGAGGUGGAACCAUUUUCAUUCUUACCAGCAAUGUAGGAGGGUUCUAAAAUUUCAAAUUCUUACCAGUAUGUGUUGGUAUCAGUCUUUUAAAUGUAGCCACCAUAGUGAGCAUGAAGUGCAAUUUCAUUGUGGUUUUAAUUUGCAUUAGCCUAAUAACAAUGAUGUUUACCGCCUUGUCAUGUUUUCAUGUGCUUAAUGGUCAUGGGCAUAUGUAUUUUUUGAGAAACGCCUUUUCAGAUAUUCUGCCAUUUAGGUGAAGCGCAGAUCCGUUUCCUUUCUAGGUUAACCUCGCUAAUUCCAUCGCUCAUGAAGCUACCCUCUUCCUCUGUGUGGCAGUCCGUCAGCAUUGCUCUUAAUGCGCAGUCCGUAUCUGGUCGCUGCAUGGCCUCUUCCUUUAAGGAGGAAAGAAGGCUUCUGUGAAUGGUAGGACGACGAGGUGAAAUAAAGGAGGAGUGAGAGAGCAAUUCACCAACACGCCCACUCCAGGAGGAGAACGCAUUCUCAUCUGGAGAGUAAAAUUCGAGAGACUGAGUCAGUGAUGUGUAGUGAGUGGAGAGGUCAUUGUGCCAAAGGCCAUUCAUCCAGUCUGCGUUUCUUCCUGCUUCUCUCCUAAGAGGAUGCUGUGGGAAGGGGUAGAGGGGACUAAGUCCUCACCCGGAAUUCCUAUGGCCACUGCAGCUUUACUUAUGUUCUUUUAUAGAGGCAGAGACUAGGAGCAGGCACCUGGGCACCAGAAAAAACAAGUCUGUUCCCAUGAGUUGCUUUUGACUUAUAUCGGCCCUAUACGCCAGAGUAGAACUGCCUCCUGGGGGUUCAAAGACUGUAGUCUUCACUGAAGCAGACUGCCACCCCUUUUGCCUGUGGAGAAUGAGCUUAUGACAGGUCUGUACUGUCAACCUUGUGUGUGGAUAGCAGCCCAAUACUCAACCCACUGUGGACAUGACCUAUGAAGUUCUUCAUUCUGUAACAAUCUCCACUUUUUACCCCUUAUGCUGGGUUGAAUAAAGACUUUCAAAGAUGCCCACACCCUAA